GACGAACGCUGGCGGCGUGCCUAAUACAUGCAAGUAGAACGCUGAAGCUUGGUGCUUGCACCGAGCGGAUGAGUUGCGAACGGGUGAGUAACGCGUAGGUAACCUGCCUGGUAGCGGGGGAUAACUAUUGGAAACGAUAGCUAAUACCGCAUAAGAGUAGAUGUUGCAUGACAUUUGCUUAAAAGGUGCGAUUGCAUCACUACCAGAUGGACCUGCGUUGUAUUAGCUAGUUGGUGAGGUAACGGCUCACCAAGGCAACGAUACAUAGCCGACCUGAGAGGGUGAUCGGCCACACUGGGACUGAGACACGGCCCAGACUCCUACGGGAGGCAGCAGUAGGGAAUCUUCGGCAAUGGACGGAAGUCUGACCGAGCAACGCCGCGUGAGUGAAGAAGGUUUUCGGAUCGUAAAGCUCUGUUGUAAGAGAAGAACGAGUGUGAGAGUGGAAAGUUCACACUGUG
rnacentral:rRNA from 1 species